rnacentral:rRNA from 4 species
UUAUCGGAGAGUUUGAUCCUGGCUCAGGACGAACGCUGGCGGCGUGCCUAAUACAUGCAAGUCGAGCGGACAGAUGGGAGCUUGCUC